rnacentral:rRNA from 1 species
UACGUAGGGUGCGAGCGUUGUCCGGAAUUAUUGGGCGUAAAGAGCUCGUAGGCGGUCUGUCGCGUCGAUCGUGAAAACUUGGGGCUUAACCCUGAGCUUGCGGUCGAUACGGGCAUGACUGGAGUUCGGCAGGGGAGACUGGAAUUCCUGGUGUAGCGGUGAAAUGCGCAGAUAUCAGGAGGAACACCGGUGGCGAAGGCGGGUCUCCUGGGCCGAUGACUGACGUGAGGAGCGAAAGCGUGGGGGAGC